CUUUUAAUCAAUUGGUCGCAGGUUCGAAUCCUGCACGACCCACCAACGCUUAAGGUAUUGACCGGUAGAGACAGUGAAGGAUAACGUUGCGCAGCAACGGCCCGUAGGGCGAGGCAAAGCCGAGUCAUCCUACACGACCCACCG
rnacentral:sRNA from 1 species